rnacentral:tRNA from 1 species
CAGAAAGUAGUUUAAUUAAAAAUAUUAGUUUUGGGGGCUAGAGUUGGGUUUCUCCUUUCUGA